CCUACGGGUGGCAGCAGUGAGGGAUAUUGGUCAAUGGGCGAAAGUCUGAACCAGCAACGUAGCGUGAGGGAUGACUGCCCUCGGGGUUUUAACCUCUGUUUAUAUUGGAGUAAAAUGUUGUACGUGAGGGGUUAUCUCCGUCUAAAUUCGUUCCAGAAGGCGCGAUUCUGUGUCGGCAGCCAGGGUUGUCCGGAUUUACUGGGUGUAAAGGGAGCGUAGGUGGUGUGUUAAGCCUGGUGUGAAAGUUUGCGGCCCAACCGUAGGAUUGCAGUUGAAACUGGCAGGCUUGAGUACAGUAGGGGUGGGCGGAAUUCGGGGUGUAGCGGUGAAAUGCGUAGAUAUCACGAAGAACUCCGAUUGCGAAGGCAGUUCACUGGACUGCAACUGACACUGAGGCUCGAAAGUGUGGGUAUCAAACAGGAUUAGAUACCCUAGUAGUC
rnacentral:rRNA from 1 species